GGUUCAAUGAUAAAUACAAAGGGACCCCUUCAUAGAUAAGUGGAUCCCUUAUCUAUGCUCUACUUAUAACCAAAUCUUAAUUAAGGAAAUCAUUGAAUUUUUGUUUUGUUCUGUAUUUACAAUUUCGAAAUAUGGCCAAUUUAGGAUGUUCUUUGAUGCAAGAAAUGAAAAAGACUGAGGAAGCUAUGCAGGAAUGUUAUGAACGGAUUAAAAAUAUAGAAAAAAAAAUGUUAGCCGAAGAUUUAUCACCUGAAAAAGAAAAGUCGAUGAGAAUAGAACUUGAGGAAGUUAAAAAAUUAUUAACAAGAAAUAGUGAUUUGCUGAAAAAAUUACAUAAAAACAAUAGGGGCAACUUUUUCAUAGCAUUCGGCGUCUUAUUUAUUUUUAUCUUGAUUUUCGUUUUCUUCAAAGCUGCGAAAGGAGAGUUAUGAUGAUUUCAUUACUAAAAUCUAAGUUACUGAAAAAGAGUUUUCUGGACUUGAAGUUCCUAAUAUUCCAACUAUUUACUAUCUUAUGUAAAUAAUGAGAGUUUCACCUUUCAAAAGCAAUAAUUACGAAAAAAUGUAUUCACUAUGUAGUUUAAAAGUUUUGGUACUUCAAACAUUAUUUAGAAUUCAUUACAUACAGUCCUCAUCUGUAAAAAUUUCUCUAUAUCUAACUCUUAAUUUAACUUUUCUUCAACAUACGUUAUUCUGCCAAAAAUGCAGAUUUUUUUUUAAUUGAUACAUGAGUAAAUAAUGAUUAUCCAACCUAAAUUGGUUCUCACAUACACUUAGAUUGUCAUAUCCUCCCAUUUCAUGUCCUCCGAAAACACUUUUUAUCUUGGCUUUUGUUUGCAAAAAUUCUAAUCCACGAACAUUCAAAACUGAUUGCAAUUGAAUUAAAUUUGAAAUCAAUUCAUUUUAUAUUAUUUUGAAAGAUUCAAUAAAAACUAAGAUGAUUCACAUACAUAUUUAAUUCCAUUUACAUAAAAUAUAAAAUUCCUUAAUAAAGGAAAAAUGUAUACAUUAAACAAUAAUAAAUUAUAUCAUGACUUACUAUAAAAAUAUAAUAUUUUCUACUUUAAAAUGAUUUAGAUUUAGAUUUUACUUGUUCAGUAAAGUUGGCAUUCCACUAAAUUUAUUGAAAACCUUCUUCUGCAAUUUCUGUUCUAUGGAAAUAUUUAUUUUUGAAAUUAAUCCUUCAAGAUCAUUUUCACUAUAUGUAUAUAAAAGUUUACAGUUAUUAGGCAGAAUAGAUUUUUUUUCAAUUUGUUCAAUGGCAUGAUCUAGACAAUAGUUCGCAUUUUCUUGUUUUUCAAUAACUGAUGAAAUAAAUAGAUUUGUUCUG